UGCUACCAGUUUUAACCUCCUGUGACGUCCCAGAUGGGGUUGUCAAGAGGAGCAUGUGGCCGUCACGCCAAAGCCUGGCGCCUCCGGCACUCCUACCGUCACGCCUCUUGUGACGAAACUAAAGAACUAGAAAAACACCACGUUAAUAAACAAUCGUUACUAUUCAGUCUCUUCCGUUCCAACCACCGAGCUAGACACCGCGUACUUAUGAGCAGUAAACAAAGACGUGAAACUAGUUACUACUUCCUUUUUCCUCUUUAAGAUUUUAAUUUACUCGGUUAGGAAGAGUACCCUGUUUUGAGUCAAUCCGUGGAGCCGGAUUUUACUCGGGAUCUGGGCAAGAGGAGCCUUAAUCCCAAAAUAAGUAGAAUAUUUUACUUACCUUGGCGCCGCUGUUGUUUGAUAGAUGUUGAAGAAGAUGGUUGAUAGAUGUUGAUUCCGUCAGUAAUUUGGAUAGACCUCCCUGAUAACAAUUGAGGAUUUUGGCCAACAGGAGCUUAAUUCCAAUUCACAACACACGAUAUUUGAAAGAAAACGACGUGUCACAGAACAACGUAAACUGAACGCAGUAUUAUAAAGAUGAAAGAACGUACUC